rnacentral:rRNA from 1 species
AUUGAACGCUGGCGGCAUGCUCUACACAUGCAAGUCGAACGGUAACAGGCCGCAAGGUGCUGACGAGUGGCGAACGGGUGAGUAAUGCAUCGGAACGUGCCCAGUCGUGGGGGAUAACUACUCGAAAGAGUAGCUAAUACCGCAUACGAUCUAUGGAUGAAAGCGGGGGACCGUAAGGCCUCGCGCGAUUGGAGCGGCCGAUGUCAGAUUAGGUAGUUGGUGGGGUAAAGGCUCACCAAGCCAACGAUCUGUAGCUGGUCUGAGAGGACGACCAGCCACACUGGGACUGAGACACAGCCCAGACUCCUACGGGAGGCAGCAGUGGGGAAUUUUGGACAAUGGGCGCAAGCCUGAUCCAGCAAUGCCGCGUGCAGGAAGAAGGCCUUCGGGUUGUAAACCGCUUUUGUACGGAACGAAACGGCUCUGGUUAAUACCCGGGGCUAAUGACGGUACCGUAAGAAUAAGCACCGGCUAACUACGUG